rnacentral:rRNA from 1 species
GUGCCAGCAGCCGCGGUAAGACGUAGGGGGCGAGCGUUGUCCGGAAUGACUGGGCGUAAAGGGCGUGUAGGCGGCGCGUCACGUAGCGGUCGGCAGCCGCGGGCUCAGCCGGCGGAGGGCCGCUAAACGGGCGGGCUGGAGGGCAGGAGAGGUGCUCGGAAUUCCUGGUGGAGCGGUGAAAUGCGUAGAGAUCAGGAAGAACACCGGUGGCGCAGGCGGGGCACUGGCCUGGCCCUGACGCUGAGGCGCGACAGCGUGGGGAGCGAACGGGAUUAGAUACCCCGGUAGUCCACGCCGUAAACGAUGGAUACUAGGUGUCGCGGGGGUUCACCCGGCGGUGCCGGAGCUAACGCACUAAGUAUCCCGCCUGGGGAGUACGGCCGCAAGGUUGAAACUCAAAGGAAUUGACGGGGGCCCGCACAAGCAGUGGAGCAUGUGGUUUAAUUCGACGCAACGCGCAGAACCUUACCAGGACUAGACGGGUCCGUGAGCGCCGCGAAAGCGGCGGGCCCCGCGAGGGGAGCGGACGUCAGGUGCUGCAUGGUUGUCGUCAGCUCGUGUCGUGAGAUGUUGGGUUAAGUCCCGCAACGAGCGCAACCCUCGUUUGCUGUUGCCAGCGGGGGAGCCGGGCACUCAGCGAAGACCGCCGGUGACAAACCGGAGGAAGGUGGGGAUGACGUCAAAUCCGCAUGGCCUUGAUGUUCUGGGCUACACACGUGC